rnacentral:rRNA from 1 species
ACCUGACUGCUAUCGGAUUGAUACUAGGCCAUGCGAGUCAUUGUAGCAAUACAAGGCAUACGGCUCAGUAACGCGUAGUCAACCUAACCUAUGGACGGGAAUAACCUCGGGAAACUGAGAAUAAUGCCCGAUAGAACAUUAUGCCUGGAAUGGUUUAUGUUCCAAAUGAUUUAUCGCCAUAGGAUGGGACUGCGGCCUAUCAGUUUGUUGGUGAGGUAAUGGCCCACCAAGACUAUUACAGGUACGGGCUCUGAGAGGAGUAGCCCGGAGAUGGGUACUGAGACACGGACCCAGGCCCUAUGGGGCGCAGCAGGCGAGAAAACUUUGCAAUGUGCGAAAGCACGACAAGGUUAAUCCGAGUGAUUUCUGCUAAAGAGAUCUUUUGUUAGUCCUAGAAACACUAACGAAUAAGGGGUGGGCAAGUUCUGGUGUCAGCCGCCGCGGUAAAACCAGCACCUCAAGUGGUCAGGAUGAUUAUUGGGCCUAAAGCAUCCGUAGCCGGCUCUGUAAGUUUUCGGUUGAAUCUGUACGCUCAACGUACAGGCUGCCGGGAAUACUGCAGAACUAGGGAGUGGGAGAGGUAGACGGUACUCGGUAGGAAGUGGUAAAAUGCUUUGAUCUAUCGAUGACCACCUGUGGCGAAGGCGGUCUACCAGAACACGUCCGACGGUGAGGGAUGAAAGCUGGGGGAGCAAACCGGAUUAGAUACCCGGGUAGUCCCAGCUGUAAACUAUGCAAACUCAGUGAUGCAUUGGCUUGUGGCCAAUGCAGUGCUGCAGGGAAGCCGUUAAGUUUGCCGCCUGGGAAGUACGUACGCAAGUAUGAAACUUAAAGGAAUUGGCGGGGGAGCACCACAAGGGGUGAAGCCUGCGGUUC